rnacentral:rRNA from 1 species
AUGAACGCUGGCGGCGUGGAUAAGGCAUGCAAGUCAAGGGGCCCGCAAGGGCACCGGCAGACGAGGUAGUAACACGUGGGUACAUGCCCCAAAGUCGAGUAUAGCUCGUCGAAAGACGGGGUAAUCCUCGAUAGUCUCUUACGAGUAAAGUCGCAAGACGCUUUGGGAGUGGCCCGCGGGAUAUCAGCUAGUUGGUAGGGUAAUGGCCUACCAAGGCUAUGACGUCUAGGGGAGCUGAGAGGCUGACCCCCACCGAUGGUACUGAGAUACGGACCAUACACCUACGGGUGGCCGCAGUCGAGAAUCUUCCGCAAUGGGCGAAAGCCUGACGGAGCGACGCCGCGUGAUCGAUAAAGUCUUUCGGGAUGUAAAGAUCUUUUAUGAGGGAGAAAGUUUAUUGAUGUUACCUCAUGAAUAAGGGGUUGCUGAACUCGU